AUUGAACGCUGGCGGAAUGCUUUACACAUGCAAGUCGAACGGCAGCACGGGGGGCAACCCUGGUGGCGAGUGGCGGACGGGUGAGGAAUGCAUAGGAAUCUGCCCAGUUGUGGGGGAUAACGUAGGGAAACUUACGCUAAUACCGCAUACGACCUACGGGUGAAAGAGGGGGACCUUCGGGCCUCUCGCGAUUGGAUGAGCCUAUGCCGGAUUAGCUAGUUGGCGGGGUAAGAGCCCACCAAGGCGACGAUCCGUAGCUGGUCUGAGAGGAUGAUCAGCCACACUGGAACUGAGACACGGUCCAGACUCCUACGGGAGGCAGCAGUGGGGAAUAUUGGACAAUGGGCGCAAGCCUGAUCCAGCAAUGCCGCGUGUGUGAAGAAGGCCUUCGGUUGGUAAAGUCACUUUUGUUUGGGUAAGAAAGUCCGGUUGGUUAAUACCUGAUCGGGAUGACGGUACCAAAAGAAAUAAAGACACCGGACUAACCUUCGUGCCAGCAGCCGCGGUAAG
rnacentral:rRNA from 1 species